GUAGUUGUGGCCGAGUGGUUAAGGUGAUGGACUAGAAAUCCAUUGGGGGGGUCUCCCUGCGCAGGUUCAAAUCCUGCCAACUACG